rnacentral:rRNA from 1 species
AUUGAACGCUGGCGGCAUGCCUUACACAUGCAAGUCGAACGGUAACAGGUCUUCGGAUGCUGACGAGUGGCGAACGGGUGAGUAAUACAUCGGAACGUGCCCGAUCGUGGGGGAUAACGAAGCGAAAGCUUUGCUAAUACCGCAUAAGAUCUACGGAUGAAAGCAGGGGACCGCAAGGCCUUGCGCGAACGGAGCGGCCUAUGCCAGAUUAGGUAGUUGGUGGGAUAAAAGCUUACCAAGCCGACGAUCUGUAGCUGGUCUGAGAGGACGACCAGCCACACUGGGACUGAGACACGGCCCAGACUCCUACGGGAGGCAGCAGUGGGGAAUUUUGGACAAUGGGCGAAAGCCUGAUCCAGCCAUGCCGCGUGCAGGAUGAAGGCCUUCGGGUUGUAAACUGCUUUUGUACGGAACGAAAAGACUCUUUCUAAUAAAGAGGGUCCAUGACGGUACCGUAAGAAUAAGCACCGGCUAACUACGUGCCAGCCGCCGCAGUAA